AUGCCGGGCGUAAAGCGUGGUUAAGAUUUUUAUACAACUAAAGCCGAACACCUUCAGAACUGUUAUACGUACCCGAAGGCAAGAAGAUCAACCACGAAAGUGGCUUUACCAUCCUGAACCCACGAAAGCUACGACACAAACUGGGAUUAGAUACCCCACUAUGCCUAGCCGUAAACAUUGGUAGCAUAACACAUUAACUACCCGCCCGGGUACUACGAGCAUCAGCUUGAAACCCAAAGGACUUGGCGGUGCUUUAGAUCCACCUAGAGGAGCCUGUUCUAGAACCGAUAACCCCCGUUCAACCUCACCUCCUCUUGUUUCCCCCGCCUAUAUACCGCCGUCGUCAGCUUACCCUGUGAAGGUCUUAUAGUAAGCAAAAUUGGCACAACCUAAAACGUCAGGUCGAGGUGUAGCGGAUGGGGAGGGAAGAAAUGGGCUACAUUUCCUACCAUAGGAAAUACGGACGAUGCACUGAAACAUGCAUCUGAAGGAGGAUUUAGCAGUAAGCAGGAAAUAGAGUGUCCCGCUGAAACCGGCCCUGAAGCGCGCACACACCGCCCGUCACUCUCCCCAAGCCUGUAAACUAAAGUAAUUAAAACCUUAAAAUCGCGAAGGGGAGGCAAGUCGUAACAUGGUAAGUGUACCGGAAGGUGCACUUGGGAAAAU
rnacentral:rRNA from 1 species